GACGAACGCUGGCGGCGUGCUUAACACAUGCAAGUCGAACGGCAAGGCACUGAUUUUGUGGUGUGCCCGAGUGGCGAACGGGUGAGUAACACGUGAGUAACCUGCCCUAGACUUUGGGAUAACUUCAGGAAACUGGGGCUAAUACCGGAUAGCAGCCCCUGCUCGAUGGUGGGGGUGGGAAAGUCUCGGCGGUCGGGGAUGGAUGCGCGGGUGAUCAGCUAGUUGGUGGGGUAGUGGCUUACCAAGGCAUUGACGGAUAGGCCGCCUGUGAGCGUGAACGGCGACAUUGGGACUAAGGUACGGAGCAGACUCCUACGUUAGGCAGUAGUGGGAAGUAUGACACAGCGAGCCCGAGCGUGUGGCGAAGGCCCCCGGUGCGUAAAGACGGCCUUCGGGUUAAGAACAGCUUUCGCCUGAGACGAAGCGGGAGUGACGGUAAUGAAUAAAGAAGCACCGGCUAACUACGUG
rnacentral:rRNA from 1 species